rnacentral:rRNA from 1 species
GAUGAACGCUAGCUACAGGCUUAACACAUGCAAGUCGAGGGGCAGCGCAGUGUAGCAAUACAUGGGCGGCGACCGGCGCACGGGUGCGUAACGCGUAUCCAACCUUCCCGUUACUCAGGGAUAACCGGUGGAAACGCCGACUAAUACCCCAUAGUAUCACUUUUAGGCAUCUUUUAGUGAUUAAAGAAUUUCGGAAACGGAUAGGCUCGCGUGACAUUAGCUAGACGGCGGGGUAACGGCCCACCGUGGCUACGAUGUCUAGGGGUUCUGAGAGGAAGGUCCCCCANACUGGAACUGAGACACGGUCCAGACUCCUACGGGAGCAGCAGUGAGGAAUA